UACAGAGGUCCCGAGCGUUGUUCGGAUUCAUUGGGCGUAAAGAGCGCGUAGGCGGUCCGGUAAGUCCGCUCUGAAAGCCCGGGGGCUCAACCCCGGGAGGCGGGCGGAUACUGUCGGGCUAGAGUCCGGAAGAGGCGAGUGGAAUUCCCGGUGUAGCGGUGAAAUGCGUAGAUAUUGGGAAGAACACCGGUGGCGAAGGCGGCGCUCUGGACCGAGACUGACGCUGAGGCGCGAAAGCGUGGGGAGCAAACAGG
rnacentral:rRNA from 1 species